CAUGUAGGCGGAUUAAUAAGUUUGAAGUGAAAUCCUAUAGCUUAACUAUAGAACUGCUUUGAAAACUGUUAAUCUAGAAUGUGGGAGAGGUAGAUGGAAUUUCUGGUGUAGGGGUAAAAUCCGUAGAGAUCAGAAGGAAUACCGAUUGCGAAGGCGAUCUACUGGAACAUUAUUGACGCUGAGAUGCGAAAGCGUGGGGAGCAAACA
rnacentral:rRNA from 2 species